rnacentral:lncRNA from 1 species
GCCACUAAGAGCAAGUAAAUUAUGUUGAUACAAUUGGUAAACAUAUACAUUCGCUAGAACCUCCCACAAUCCCACAGAGCUAAGGGAAACAUUAAGGAUGUUACAGGAUUAAUGCUUUCAUUCUAUAAUGUGGAUAUAUGGCUUUCAUACAAGUUUUAAAAAAUUGAAAAGGUAACACACUACUAGCUUACAAAAUCAAUAUACAAACUGGAAAAAAAAUAAAAGAAAAAAGAAAAGGAACAGCAUAAAGAACAUAUUUCAUGAGAAGAUAUAUAGAACUGGUUUAAUAGAUAUAUACAGAAUUAGAAAUCCAUUGAACAUGAUACUCAGGCUUUAAUUUGUUAUUUUCACUUUCAUUUCUUCUCUUACUUAGCACCCAAACCACAGGUAUCAAGAGGAUUUCUGUUGUUUUUUUUUUUUUUUUUUUUUUUUUUUUUUUUAAA